UACGAAGGGGGCUAGCGUUGCUCGGAAUCACUGGGCGUAAAGCGCACGUAGGCGGAUUGUUAAGUCAGGGGUGAAAUCCUGGAGCUCAACUCCAGAACUGCCUUUGAUACUGGCGAUCUCGAGUCCGGGAGAGGUGAGUGGAACUGCGAGUGUAGAGGUGAAAUUCGUAGAUAUUCGCAAGAACACCAGUGGCGAAGGCGGCUUACUGGCCCGGUACUGACGCUGAGGUGCGAAAGCGUGGGG
rnacentral:rRNA from 1 species